ACCCUCGGUUCCUUCCCCACCAGAUCUGAACACUGGUCUGAGUGGUUAUAAAAGGAGGCCAAGUCCAGCUGAACGUGACUGCGAUUCUUUUGUGACACACGGGCUGUUUGAAACACAA
rnacentral:snoRNA from 1 species